AUGCUACUGGAUGAUGGAAUUCUCCUGUUCCCUGUUUAUUUGGUUGUUCUCUCAGCUCAGUUACUGGUUCUUCAUUUUGUAAGAAUGAAGCAGUUGUAUUGUCCUAAUAAACUUGAGACACUGAUAAAAAUUAUCUCUUUGCCAGAGUUUACAUGCAAAACAAAUAUGAGAAAACCCACAGCCGGUAUACAGAUUUGGUCUCAAGACUUCAGAAAACAUCAACAGGGUACAGAAUGGAGCUGCGGUGACUGUCCUGCUAAUCCGCAGAAUAUCAUGGUGAAAUCAACCCCCCACAGCCUCUGCACAGUCACUUCAAGUCAGAAAUCCACAUUGGCAAUUUCUGAGCUGGCAGAGCACGUGUGACACAUGUUGCGCAUGGGAAAUUGCACCUGCAAGAUGCACAUGGCUCAACUUUAAUUUACUUAUAUAAAUGAUAGUCAUUGCUCUUCAACUGAUGGAUUUUAACAUUCCUGACAUCAUACCUCUCUUUCUUGAGGUUUUGCCUCAAAGCAAUCUAGUGACCUGUUGUUUGGUGUCAGGAGGUACUGGUUCAUUAUUGCCUGAGAAAUGAAUGCACUCAAACUCUGUAAAGUACUGCUUAAAAUACCAUGCUAAUACAGUAGAUUUAAAAAAAAAAAAAAGGAAAAAAAUGAUUGUAUAUGUAAUUUCAUGUCCUUCCCAAUACUGGGAACCCUGAGUUGUGUCGUAUCAAACAGGUUUCCGGUCUUAAAUUGGGGUGCACAUCGGUGGGCAUAUCCUGCCUAUUGAAAGGUCACCUGACAUUUUGAUCUUUUGAGCUCUGACGGGAUUUUCUCAGUUGUAGUUCUCAUUUCUAUUGUCAAACAGAAAGGAGGUUCACAUGAAAAUUGGUUGCUGCACUUUUAAAUAAAGCCAAGGAUACGCAGGUGGUGCAAGUGCCAGCACUGAGUGGGAGCUGCCUGGAGGCUCCUGUGUUGCGAGGAGCUGGCCAAGUUUAGCCCGCAGCCACUGGACGUGCACAGCACAAGGCUGACAGCAAGGCUGUGCACACAGCGCAGUGCAGCACUGGCUUCAUCCUGUUCUGCAGAUCCUCAGUACAAGGGUCUUCUGGUUAGGAUAAGUACCUGUGGCUGAAAGAAAAAUAACCUGGAUUGCAAAAUAAUGUAAGUAUACAUCUAAUUUUUGAGAGCAUCAAGGAUUUCAAGGCAGACAUGCAGCAUAGGUAAGUGGGGAAUGAUCCUAACUGAACCUUGUAAGUGGCUACCAUAAUCAAAUAAUAAUAAUAAAACAUGAUAAACUAUAAUGUGAUACCUGGAG
rnacentral:lncRNA from 1 species